AUCGUUAUCCAUUUGAAGCGGAAGGUGAUACGAUACCCAGAAUGCAGCCCAUAAUAUAAACAGCAAAACAGAGAUGAAAGUUUCUUUCAAGUUCCUCUUUCUGCGGCCCUGGUUUGCAAAGAAAAGAGAGCGUUGUUCGAGUUUCCUUCCGUACGCGGGACGACUGCUGCCCGUAGGCGAGUCGAACUCGGAGCUGCUUUUCCCCCUUCCUCCUCUUCGAUUCGGUCGCUAAAAUCGAGAUACGAGG
rnacentral:lncRNA from 1 species